rnacentral:lncRNA from 1 species
CUGCAGUGCUUGCAAGGCUGUUUGGAAAGCCCACCAUAGCAGAGCUCAAUUAAGAGCCUUCAUAAUUCUCACCAGUUAACUUUGAUUAAAUAGGCUGUCUUGGAAGGGAAUUCAGUCAGUUUGGGCUAUAAAUUACCUACAGCGAGUUUGAAACUUUGAAACUCUGAAACAUUAGCCCAUGGACAGCCCGUUCCUUUAGGAGGAUGGGACUUGGCCAGCUAAAGCACAGCAGCUUCAUCUUCAGAGUGGAGAGUUGAAAGGGAAAGUCCCUGUCAGUGCUGGGACAGCAGGUCCCGCAGCACAGCUGGACAGGGAGAUGUCCACCUGCUUCCCACCGCCCACUGUGCACACAGUGGGGGGCCCAGAGCACCUUCUCCCAUCCCACCGCCUGUUAGCAUUUGAUCGUUACAUGAUCCCGUGUUCAUUGUUCAUUUCCUACCUUUCCUGGUCGUCUUUCUUGCCAAAGGUCAAACCACCCAUCAUGAAAUGGCUCCCGCUGAUGGCUGCUUUUUAGGUGAGACUGCAUUUCCAUACACAAGCUUUGGGGAACACAUGGGAGCCACAUCCAAGCAGAGCAGAGACCAAAAAACAUUCAGAAGCCACCGACUCACACCUGAUGGUGUCACAGCAUUCAGGACGCUUUCCACCAGCCCAAGUGAUCACACUGGCCACCACUUCAGCCCCUGCCGUAGGCUCUGUGGCCUCAGCUGCCCUCACAGCCCCUCAGUGACUCAGGCCUGCGAUGGGCUGGCAGCUCCCCCACCAUGCCAGCAGGGCUUCCGUGCAGCCAUUCAGAGUUGCAGCUCCACCUGGCGCCA